CCCGCGAGGAGCAAGAGACUCAGGCUCGCGGGAGCCCGCGGCCCCAGAGACCAGGUACGGCGGCGACCGCCGGAGGCGGGCGCCCGAGUCAAAGGAGAACGCUGGUCUGGCAGGAAGAACCACGCGGCACGGGAACUCCAUCACGCCGGAAUCUCGACGCGGCAGCUGAGGCGCUGCCUGGCCGGGUGGAGAACCCAGAUCCUUGAGCUAGCGGCACAGCCCUGGAGUGCAGCCUCCGCACCGCCGGAAGCUCGGCGCCGAGGGAAGGGCGGGUCUCUGUGCAGUGAGCGCCUGUGCUUGGAGCUCAGGUGUGGUGGGCCCCGGUGCACGGGGUCCAGGAACAGCGGGCCCUAAUGCAGGGCCCUAGGUGGAGCCGGCCCAGUGCACGGGGUCCAGGAGCAGCCGGUCCAGGUACGCGAGCGCUCAGGUGUGGCGGGCCCAGUACACGGGGUCCAGGAGCAGCGGGCCCUAAUGCAGGGCCCUAGGCGGAGCGGGCCCAUACACGGGGUCCAGGAGCAGCGGGCCCGAAUGCAGGGCCCUAGGCGGAGCGGGCCCAUGCACGGGGUCCAGGAGCAGCGGGCCCUAAUGCAGGGCCCUAGGCGGAGCGGACCCAGUGCACGGGGUCCAGGAGCAGCCGGCCCAGGUACGGGAGCGCUCAGGUGUGGCGGGCCCAGUGCACGGGGACCAGGAGCAGCGGGCCCGAAUGUAAGGGGGUCCAGGUGUGAAGAGUUCAAGUGCAGCAGUUCCAAGUUCGUGAGCCCUAAUGCCGGGAGUCCGAGUGCAGCAGGCCCAGGAAGUCCUAGUGGAGUCCCAUUUGCUGACAGCCCCUCUGUCCAUCCCCCGCAGACUCUGUUCUCCCUCUGCUAAGCUGUUACAGCUUCACCAGCUGGUUACAGAGUGACAAGGAAUGCAGCCUCCCUCUAGUCCACUCUCUUGGGUCAGCCUGGAGAAUCACCGGCAGAGAACAGCUUGGAAGAGUGAGGAAGUGAGACCCUUGACCUCAGACGUGGACCCAACCCGUUGGAGGAGAGUGGAGCUGGCGUCUGCCCCGAGGGGCAUUAGAUGGAAUCUUCGAAACCACGCAUUAUGAGGUACAGCUGAGGAUCUGUGAAAGCCCAGGACCGCCAUAGUCCUGUGACUGACGCUUCGCAUGAGAGGGGACGAGGUGCGCCCUUCUGGUGGCAUCGCCAGCUCCCGACACCCCAGAUACCCCCGAUAUGCAAAGCCCUUAUUUGCAAGUGUCCUGAUGGCCUCUGCACCUUCACUCCACCUGAUCCCAAGUGAAUACCAGAGACACCGGCACGUCUCAGAUGCUGCUCCAUCAGAACAGCCUGUGAGCAGGGCCCCGGCAGGAGUCUCCUCCUUCCUCGGUACAGUUGGAUCUGCGUCCGGAAGUGUCUGAGCAUCCCUCACAAGAGCUGCACACUCCCCGCAUUCCUUGGUUUCAGAAGUUGAGUGUGGGAAGAGCCAUCUGAGGUCCUGGAAAAGUCAGUUCCAGUGUGAGCAGUCAUUCACGUGCUGUAAUGGAGGGGUGCCCGGUGCCCGUGCCCUCAGAGCUCCCGCGGACCUUCCCGGCAGGUGAGCUGCUUCCCUCUGCCACACUCCUCCACCAUGAUGUUCAGCCUCACCUGGAUCUCCAAGGAAUGGAGCCGGCCUUCUGUGGACUAAGACCUCUGAGGACUUGAGCCCUCAAAUAAACUCUUCCUUCUCUCUAAUCGUGCUGGUCAGAUCCUUGAGUCCACGGUGACAAAGCUGCCUAAAACAAGCCCCCACUGGAGAAGCAAUUGAAGCAGCCCACACGAGUGAGAGGGGCCACCAGGAGGCAGGUGUGGAGCCGGUCGCAGGGACCAGGAGUCUGAAGCUUCCGUGCCUGACGCAGAGGCUGCCUCCACGAUGGGACCACGUGCUAGGGCAGAACAAGUCUGUGUUCAAAUUUUUAAUAAAAUCUCAGUUCUGAGUCAGAGGCACCUGUGAACAUUCAAGCCGAUAUGUCCACCUGUGAGUCCAAAGGUCAAGACAGAAUCAGACCAGGGUGACAUAUGAGGCACGAGUCAGUGAGCUGACGAGAGUGGAUGAGAUCUUAGCAGUGCAUGUAGGGAAAGCGCAGGCCCCACACACAAAGGACAGACAGGAAGAAAAGAAUGAGUAGUGCAUUUAGAGAUGCUGGAGGAGAGGCCGGCCUUCCGUGGGCGAGGGCAGAGGCGUGCGCAGCAGGGCAGAGUCCCUCGCCCGCAGGUUGAU